GUGAGCAACUCCGGCAUCAGAUUUCGUCAAGCCGUUCCCUCCCCUUCGAGGCACGGCGAUCAAACCGUUAGACUUUUUGCAUCACCCGCUGCAGUGCGGCAGAUGCAACAACUCGGCGGAAUCAUCAGGAUGGCUGGACACACCUUCCCCAUUAAGUACCAUGGACAAUCCCUCCCCAUGGUUUUCGAGGAGCCUCCGCAAG